AACAUAACUGCAAAAUAUCAAGUUUGUACUGUUCUGGGGCCCUUUUUACAGACCUGUAUUCGAAGCGGGUAUUGUGGGUGAGCAGUUGUCCUUUUUACAUGUUUCCAUCGUUGAAGUUAAAGUCAUAGUAGGAAAUUCAUUACUACCUGGAACACACAAAUUAGAAUAUGGUAUAGAGACAAAUUUGCAAAUGACAAGAAAUGAACAUACGGUUACAAAGACAUAUAAACAAAAGGCACUACUACUCCGAUGUAGCUGUGCUCCUGAAAUCUUUUUUAGUAAGUUGGUUUGGAACUCUGAACGCAGUUUUGUAUAUGGAAGCAAUUUUAUAACUAGAGAAUAGGUUCACAAGCCAAUCCACUAGAAGCCUUUUAUACCUGUAUUAAUAAUAAUGUAGACCUUAACCACCACGUGUAACAGUGCUUGGAUGGCCAAGUGCAUUCAGAGUUCAGACCCGGGAUGCCAGGAACACACCUCCCCAAAGCAGUUGGUGUUUCCCGAGCUCCAAGCCACUGGUCAGUCCCUAUAGCAAGUGGAGACUUGUAGGUCAUGGCAGUUCUAACAGUGAAGUAGGGGGCUCCGGGGAACAGGGUUUAAAAUGCAAGAAUCUUCUGCCAGAUCCUACUCAGGAUCUUUCUUUUCUUCCUUAGUUCCCAAAGAUCCACCUGCUUGCUAGUGCACCACCUAUUUCCCUGGCCAGAAUGGACCAGAAGAUAGUAACUUUCCUAUCUGGCCUACAGAAUCAUCCAGAGAAACAAACAGCAAAAUGCAGAACUAUGAUUUGUAUCCUGCUUUGGAAAAAGAGUAAUGAAGAAAUUUAACCCGAAUGACAAAAGCAGUGAUUGUCCACAUGGAGAAGUACUCACCAGGAAGCUAUAGAAGAAUUCAUGGACAAAGAGGCCCAGCAUGCAAACCAGGACGUAGGCCACGUGGUAGAGAAAGGCCAUAUCCAGGAUGACUGCUCGGUAGCCUCGGGUGAAAGUGCCACGAUUGCCCACAAAACUCACCAGAAACACUAUUUUAUUACAAAGCUGCAGGGAGGAAAAUAUUAGACUUUACUGUCUUAUUUAUCCCCAAAACUCGCGUAAAUAGCAGUCAUUGACAAAACCUAGCAUUCACAAAGUCUGUGGUUUUCUUUUAUCAUUUUUCAUCUCGUAAUUUUUUGACAUUGCUUACAAAUCUGUGUGUAAACAUAAAACACCCCAAAGUUGUAUCAUUUGCAGUUCCAGGAGAAAAGAGGAGGAUGAUUAAGGGCACCAGCUUAGUAAUCGAGACAGACCUGAAUUUAAACCCUGGCUCUCUCACUACUGUUGUACAAGGUCAUGCAGCAGCUGGCCUUGAUUGUUUCUUUGGAAAAAUUGGAGCAAAGAGAUUUCGACCUUAUAGAACUCUUCGGAGGAUUAAACAAUUCAUAAUGCGUAUGAAACACUUAGUACAAUGACUCUUUAGAUACUACCCAUCAUAUUUUCCAUAUUAGAAGUAAUAGAUAUAAUAUUUUUAUUAUACUGGAAAUGUAACAGAAAAAUAUCUUUUCAGAAAAUAUCUAUCCUUCAUUUUUUCAUCCUAAACUUUCUCUCCUGAAUAUUACUGUAAACAAGUAAGCCAUUAAAAGUGAUUUUUUUUGCAU